rnacentral:RNase_P_RNA from 1 species
UGAGCAGGCCGGGUGAACGCGGCUAACGAACCAGCACCUUUUUGUGGUGCUAGGCGAAGGCCGAGGAAAGUCCGGACUCCACAGAGCACGGUGGUUGCUAACGGCAACCCGGGGUGACCCGCGGGCAAGUGCAACAGAAAGUAGACCGCCUCAGUUUUCUGGGGUAAGGGUGAAACGGUGCGUUAAGAGCGCACCAGCGUCGUCAGUGAUGGCGGCGGCUGGGUAAACCCCACCGGGAGCAAGGCAUCAUGGCCCGCGCGUGCGCGGGCUUGAUCAGGCGGGCUGCUCGUCCAAGCCUGAAGGUAGCUGCUUGAGGCCGAUUGGCAACAGUCGGUCCAGAUGGAUGUUCAUCCUUCGACAGAAUCCGGCUUAUAGGCCAGCUCAUUCG